CUACGCGAUGCUCGUCAUCGUAGGGUUAGUCGGGUCCUAAGUCGAGUCCGAAAGGGGUAGACGAUGGCAAAUUGGUUAAUAUUCCAAUACCAACAUUAGUGUGCGAUGGAAGGACGCUUAGGGCUAAGGGGGCUAGCGGAUGGAAGUGCUAGUCUAAGGUCGUAGGAGGUUAUAUAGGCAAAUCCGUAUAACAAUACUCCGAGAACUGAAAGGCUUUUUGAAGUCUUCGGAUGGAUAGAAGAACCCCUGAUGCCGUCGAGCCAAGAAAAGUUUCUAAGUUUAGCUAAUGUUGCCCGUACCGUAAACCGACACAGGUGGGUGGGAUGAGUAUUCUAAGGCGCGUGGAAGAACUCUCUUUAAGGAACUCUGCAAAAUAGCACCGUAUCUUCGGUAUAAGGUGUGGUUAGCUUUGUAUUAGGAUUUACUCCGAAAGCAAGGAAACUUACAACAAAGAGUCCCUCCCGACUGUUUACCAAAAACACAGCACUCUGCUAACUCGUAAGAGGAUGUAUAGGGUGUGACGCCUGCCCGGUGCUCGAAGGUUAAUUGAUGGGGUUAGCAUUAGCGAAGCUCUUGAUCGAAGCCCGAGUAAACGGCGGCCGUAACUAUAACGGUCCUAAGGUAGCGAAAUUCCUUGUCGGUUAAAUACCGACCUGCAUGAAUGGCGUAACGAGAUGGGAGCUGUCUCAAAGAGGGAUCCAGUGAAAUUGUAGUGGAGGUGAAAAUUCCUCCUACCCGCGGCAAGACGGAAAGACCCCGUGGACCUUUACUACAGCUUGACACUGCUACUUGGAUAAGAAUGUGCAGGAUAGGUGGGAGGCUUUGAGUAUAUGACGCCAGUUGUAUAUGAGCCAUUGUUGAGAUACCACUCUUUCUUAUUUGGGUAGCUAACCAGCUUGAGUUAUCCUCAAGUGGGACAAUGUCUGGUGGGUAGUUUGACUGGGGCGGUCGCCUCCCAAAUAAUAACGGAGGCUUACAAAGGUUGGCUCAGAACGGUUGGAAAUCGUUCGUAGAGUAUAAAGGUAUAAGCCAGCUUAACUGCAAGACAUACAAGUCAAGCAGAGACGAAAGUCGGUCUUAGUGAUCCGGUGGUUCUGUGUGGAAGGGCCAUCGCUCAAAGGAUAAAAGGUACCCCGGGGAUAACAGGCUGAUCUCCCCCAAGAGCUCACAUCGACGGGGAGGUUUGGCACCUCGAUGUCGGCUCAUCGCAUCCUGGGGCUGGAGCAGGUCCCAAGGGUAUGGCUGUUCGCCAUUUAAAGCGGUACGCGAGCUGGGUUCAGAACGUCGUGAGACAGUUCGGUCCCUAUCUGCCGUGGGCGUAAGAAGAUUGAAGAGAUUUGACCCUAGUACGAGAGGACCGGGUUGAACAAACCACUGGUGUAGCUGUUGUUCUGCCAAGAGCAUCGCAGCGUAGCUAAGUUUGGAAAGGAUAAACGCUGAAAGCAUCUAAGCGUGAAGCCAACUCUAAGAUGAAUCUUCUCUAAGCUCUCUAGAAGACUACUAGUUUGAUAGGCUGGGUGUGUAAUGGAUGAAAGUCCUUUAGCUGACCAGUACUAAUAGAGCGUUUGGCUUAUCUUU
rnacentral:rRNA from 1 species